UGCAGUCGAACGGCAGCACGGAGCUUGCUCUGGUGGCGAGUGGCGAACGGGUGAGUAAUAUAUCGGAACGUACCCUAGAGUGGGGGAUAACGUAGCGAAAGUUACGCUAAUACCGCAUACGAUCUAAGGAUGAAAGUGGGGGAUCGCAAGACCUCAUGCUCGUGGAGCGGCCGAUAUCUGAUUAGCUAGUUGGUAGGGUAAAAGCCUACCAAGGCAUCGAUCAGUAGCUGGUCUGAGAGGACGACCAGCCACACUGGAACUGAGACACGGUCCAGACUCCUACGGGAGGCAGCAGUGGGGAAUUUUGGACAAUGGGCGAAAGCCUGAUCCAGCAAUGCCGCGUGAGUGAAGAAGGCCUUCGGGUUGUAAAGCUCUUUUGUCAGGGAAGAAACGGUGGGAGCUAAUAUCUCUUGCUAAUGACGGUACCUGAAGAAUAAGCACCGGCUAACUACGUGCCAGCAGCCGCGGUAAU
rnacentral:rRNA from 1 species